UGGAUCAAGGAUUAUUGAGGUUUAAGUGGAUCAGAGUCUUAGAAAGUAUAGUUUUAGGUCUAGUGACGAUUUUUAAGAUUUCUUAUAGUCUAUUGGUUGGAUUGGAAUAAAAAUUAUAUAUGUGGAUAGUAGACUUUUUUUCCUAUGUAUAUAAAAAAUUUGAAAUCAAUUGAAUAGUUUAUUAAGAAGAUAUUGGCAUUGAAAAUUGAACAUUUAGAUUCGAGGAGGCUAGCUAACAUCCAUGAAAAUAUUAGCAUUGAUCUUCUUAUUUUUCAGUUCAAUCUUCUUCAAAACAUUUAUGCUUGUUGUCAACUUAAUUGUGAAGAAGUGUGCAAAAUUUGAGUUAAAAUUAACUAUUGAUUCAUUAAUUAUUGAAGUUUAAAUUUGCUAUAGGAAUUACUUGGAAUUAUUUAGAAUUUAAUAAGGAUAUGUUUAGGAUUUGAUUAGGCUUCAAGUAAGGUUUGUUUAGGUUUGUUUAGGAUUUGGUUAGAAUUUAGUUAGAAUUUGAGUAGGAUUUGGUUAGAUUUUAUUUAGGAUUUGAUUAGAUUUUGGUUAGGAUUUGUUUAGGGUUUGAUUAGGUUUGGUUAAGGUUUGUUUAGGAUUUGGUUAGGAUUUGGUUAGAUUUUGUUAAGGAUUUAAUUAAAAUCUAUUUAAGAUUUGGUUAGGAUUUAUUUAGAAUUUGAUUCAGAUUUAUUUAGGAUUUGAUUAGGAUUUUUUAGGAUUUGACUAAGAUUUGGUUAGAAUUUAUUUAGAAUUUGACUAGGAUUUAUUUAGGAUUUAAUUAUAAUUUAUUUAGGAUUUUUUUAGGAUUUGAUUAAGAUUUAUUUAUGAUUUGAUUAGGAUUUGUUUAGGAUUUGUUAGAGUUUGACUAGGAUUUGAUUAAGUUUUUUUUAGGGUUUGAUUAGGAUUUGAUUAAGAUUUUUUAAGAUUUGACUUUGGAUUAUUUAGGAUUUGAUUAGGGUUUGAUUAGGAUUUUUUAAGAUUUGACUUUGGAUUAUUUAGGAUUUUUUUAGGAUUUGGUUAAGUUUUAUUUAGGAUUUAAUUAGGAUUUGACUAGGAUUUGAUUAGGAUUUGAUUAGAAUUUGAUUAGAUUUGACUAAGAUUUAAUUAAUAUUUCUAUUUUAAUACUUUGUUAAGAUUUCUAUUUUAUUUUAUUUUUUAAAAUUUCUAUGUUAUUUCUUUAUGAUUCUUUAAAAGAUUUCUAAAACACUUUGUAUUUCAUACAUAAUUUUUUUGAAAUUUUGAUUGAAUUUGAUUGAUGUCUGAUUAUAUUUGCUAAUCUUUAAUUGUAAUU
rnacentral:lncRNA from 1 species